CAAGUCCCCUCCACCACCACCACCAACUUACCACUACAGUUUACCCCCUCCUCCAGUUUACCAAUACAAGUCACCACCUCCUCCUCCACCCGUCUACAAAUACAAGUCUCCACCACCACCUCCACCAACCUACCACUACAGUUCUCCCCCUCCACCAGUUUAUGAAUACAAGUCACCUCCUCCUCCCCCACCCACUUAUGAGUACAAGUCUCCUCCACCACCACCACCUACCUACCUCUACAAGUCACCACCUCCACCUCMUCCAACGUACCACUACAGUUCUCCCCCUCCUCCAGUUUACCAAUACAAGUCACCUCCUCCUCCCCCACCCACUUAUGAGUACAAAUCCCCACCACCACCACCACCACCUGUAUACACAUAUUCAUCSCCACCUCCUCCAGUUCACUAUUAAGUCUAAAAGGUUUUCUUCUCCAAUCAUGUUUUAGUUUGAAAAUUGGAAUAAAGAAAGAGCUCGUAAACGAGAGAUUCAUGAGAAUUGCAAACCUCUCUAUUUCCGGCUAUUUUGCUUCUUCCACUUCUUUGGGAGCCAUUUUACAUGUUUUGUUGUUAGCAUAUUCUAGUAGAAGUGGCUUUAAAAAUGGAAAUGGGUUAAGUGGAUGUAGGAGCAAAUAGGAAGAGAUAAGAUUUGGAUGUGGUUUCUAGGGCUACCUGGUUUUGUUUCUUCAAGUUUAGUGCAUUUUUUUCUAUUGUUCUAUGUAUUCAUUAUGGGGAAUAAGCUCUUAAAUAUAGGGCAUUUGUCUCUCACAAGCUAUUAUUCAUUUUGCAUGUAAAAUGUUUCUAAUAAAAGAAAACAGUUUACGUC